GACUUGAGUUCAGAGUGUGCUCUUCCAUAAAAUAGAUAAUCACACCCAAACCUGCUGGAUGUGCUUGCCCCUCAGCCGGAGGGUUUACUUAGCCACUCCUAUCCCUUUGACCUGGGAAGUUCCUGAAAAUCUGAAAACCAACACUUCUGUCUUAAUUGGACCCGUGGCCACUGGGAUCCUUCUCACAAAUGCCAACAAUCUAAUCUGUACAGUCCCUGGAGGUAUGAAUGGUACCUCUCUAUACGGAAAAAAUAUAACCUUAAAGAGAAAUAUAAUGCUAUGUUCAACCCCUGAGGUGUUCUAUCUAUGUUCUAAUUUGGCCUUCUGAUGCUUACAGGCCAACUGGAUAUCUCUGGGGUUAGGAAGAUAUCCUAUAUCCAUAUACACUGAAGAUCAGCUCCUAACAGCCUUUAGCCCCAAGUCCCAGGCUAAACGGG